CUAGUACUCCCUCCGUUCCAAAAUAGAUGACUCAAUUUUGUACUAAAGUGAGUACAAAGUUGAGUCAUCUAUUUCGGAACGGAGGGAGUAUAUU
rnacentral:pre_miRNA from 1 species